rnacentral:rRNA from 1 species
AGAGUUUGAUCAUGGCUCAGAACGAACGUUGGCGGCGUGCUUAACACAUGCAAGUCGAACGAGAAAGUUCCUUCGGGGACGAGUAAAGUGGCGCACGGGUGAGUAACGCGUAGAUAAUCUGUCCAGGUGUUUGGGAUAGCCCUUCGAAAGGGGGAUUAAUACCGAAUACGUUGGUCUGUCAUAAGACGGAUUAAGAAAGGUGGCCUCUAUUUAUAAGCUAUCGCAUUUGGAGGAGUCUGCGUACCAUUAGUUUGUUGGUGGGGUAAUGGCCUACCAAGACUUCGAUGGUUAGCGGGUCUGAGAGGAUGAUCCGUCACACUGGCACUGAAACACGGGCCAGACUCCUACGGGAGGCAGCAGUGAGGAAUAUUGCGCAAUGGGGGAAACCCUGACGCAGCGACGCCGCGUGGGUGAGGAAGGCUUUCGGGUCGUAAAGCCCUGUCAGGUGGGAAGAAAUGUGUAUUGGUUAAUAUCCUUUACAUUUGACGGUACCACCAAAGGAAGCACCGGCUAACUCCGUGCCAGCAGCCGCGGUAAUACGGAGGGUGCAAACGUUGUUCGGAAUCACUGGGCGUAAAGGGCGCGCAGGCGGUCUGANUAGUCAGAUGUGAAAGCCCACGGCUCAACCGUGGAAGUGCAUUUGAAACUGUCAGACUUGAGUACCAGAGGGGGUAGUGGAAUUCCCGGUGUAGAGGUGAAAUUCGUAGAUNUCGGGAGGAAUACCGGUGGCGAAGGNNACUACCUGGCUGGAUACUGACGCUGAGGCGCGAAAGCGUGGGGAGCAAACAGGAUUAGAUACCCUGGNAGUCCACGCCNUAAA